UUUUUUUUAAGCUGAAAAGACCUAAAGGAAGCAGUCAGCCCAGUCUCGUUUGUGGAGAGGUAUUCAUUUAGAAACAGAGAAAUAAGAAAGCUGAGGAGGGAGACAUUUGAAGUGAUAACACUGUCCUUCUCCAUCAAUCAUAAGGACUCCGCUCUUUAACUUUUUAUCCCCAGACCCAGUGUUUACAAAGUGAAAGUGCAACCAGAUGAUCUCUCACUCCUAACAUCCCAUUUUCAGACAGUUCCCAAACCUGGAUGAACUGCUGAACAUUCGGCAGAACACACCACAAAACAUCCUACCGGUUUUUGAUUAUUCGGACGUUUUGCUGAGCGGCCGAGCCGGCGCACUCCUGAAGCUUAGACAACGCGGAUUCCAUACGGCGCUGCUUAGCAUCCAUCUGGCGAAUCUCUGCUCUCUGCCCAACAAAACGGAUGAACUUCUUCUGCUCUCCCGGACAAAUAAGGACUUUUCAAACUCCGCUGCUAUUAUGAUUCACGGAAACCUGGCUGAAUGACGUGAUACCGGACGACACGCUCAAUCUGCCAGGAUAUCAGUCAUUUAGAGUGGAUCGCGACACAGAAUCAACGGGGAAUCAACACCCGGACUCUGUUUUAAUCAUUCUUGGGGAUUUUAACAAAGCAAAUCUCUCCCGUGAACUGCCAAAAUACAGUCAGUAUGUUACAUGUCCCACCAGAGACUGUAAUUAUAAUAAUAAUAUUGGAUCACUGUUACACCACAAUAAGGAAUGCAUAUCACUCUUUCCCACGGGCAGCUUUGGGACUCUCUGAUCACUGUUUGGUUCAACUUAUACCGACCUACAGGCAGAAACUGAAAACAGCUAAACCUGUAUUAAAGACUACAAAAGGUCUAAUGAAACAGAGUAGGUUUUACAAGCCUGUUUCGAAUGGACUGAUUGGGGCAUUUUUAAAGCUGCUGUAUACGAUCUGGAUGAACUCACAUAGACUGUAACUUCAUAUAUCAGUUUCUGUGAGGAUAUAUGCAUUCCUACCGGAACUUAUUUAACAUUCAACAAUGAUAAGCCAUGGUUUACAGCAAAACUCACAACAGCAAGUCUUGUACAGUCAGGCCAGGAACACACUGAAUAAGGAGAUUAGAGUGGCUAUAAGGACCUACGCAAAAAGGGUAAAAGAUCAACUCACUUCAAACGAACCAGCUUCAGUGUAGAAAGGUCUGAAAGCCAUCACAAACUACAAGGCACCGUCCCCCAGCACUGAGGCAAACCAACGACUUGCUGUCUAAAGACCCCUCUGUCAAGCUUCUGAAGUUUGCAGAUAACACGACACUCAUCGGCCUCAUUCAGGAUGUGAGGUUAAAGAGUUGGCUGUAUGGUGCAGUCAUAACAACCUGGAGCUCAACAUGCUCAAAACUGUAGAGAUGAUUGUAGACUUCAGGAGGAAAAAAUCACUCUGGAUCCCUCACAUCCAAGGCAUCCCCUCUUUGAACUUUUGCCAUCUGACCGGCGCUACAGAGCCACAAACACCAGGACAACCAGGCACAAGAACAGUUUUUCCCCCUGGCAAUCCACCUUAUGAACAGUUAAG